rnacentral:rRNA from 1 species
UACGUAGGGAGCGAGCGUUAUCCGGAAUUAUUGGGCGUAAAGGGUGCGUAGAUGGUUGAUAUAAGUCUUUUGUAAAAAUGCUAGGCUCAACCUAGUAGGGCAAAAGAUACUGAUGAACUAGAGUACGGCAGAGGCAAGUGGAACUACAUGUGUAGCGGUAAAAUGCGUAAAUAUUAGGAGGAACACCAGUGGCGAAGGCGAGUUGCUGGACUGUAACUGACACUGAGGCACGAAAGCGUGGGGAGCAAACAGG